GGGCUCCACCUUCUCCCAGGGCCAGCUCUGCCCUCCUGCACCCCGGGUCUCUCCUGGCCGCCAGAGCCCACCUGUCUCUGCACUGCAGUGGGCCAGCCGGACAGCUGGACCAACCAACGGGAGGCAGGCUUUCAGGGAGCAACUAAACCCAAGGCUGCAUCUAUGCCAAAGACAUGAAUAAGAAUGGAAAAACACGCACAGGCAUCCAGAUGUUCUUUGGCAAUGACAAACACCCCGACAUUUGGAGACAUCUGGGUGACUGACCGACUUCGCCAGUGUCAUCUGGAGGAGGAAGAUUGUGCAGACGCAGCGUGAUUACAUGCAGGGUAAUAAACAAGCCUCCACCACCGUCCACAGGAUUGCAAGCAUCUGGGUGAAAGAGCUGAAGGCUCCAGCCAACCCUCCAAAUGUUUGGCAUCGUUCAAACAAAACACUGGACGGCAGGAGAUGGGCCAAAGGUACACGAAAGAGGCGGGGGGUCCCGGAGCCUUGCUGCCUGCAUGAGACCUAAUGAGUGUCCAACUCUUAGCAGUGGCAAGUGAUGGUCACACUGCACAUUCCAGAGCCUCCUCCUCACUGGGCUCUGCAACCUACCCAGUGAGAGGCCUCGGGCUCCCUUGGUCAGGGUCCGGUCCACUCACCCUGUGCAGGAGCUCCGGCAACACCAGGGCCAAAGUCGAACGUCUGUUUCACAAUCUAAGGAAGGGGAGGCAGUGCCUACCUCGCUGCCCAGGGGGAAGAGCAGGGUGCCUUGGGAACCAGAGAGCUGGCCUGGGGGUCUGAGAGCCCUGGCAGACCGGUGACCAUUUUGGGAUGCUGGUUCAGAGUCGCCAAAGCACACCUGAGCAAGACAAUGAGAAAAGGGCAUGAGUCCUCCCCAAAUGAAUUCAGCUCUAUUACUUUAUUGGCAAAGGAAAGAAGCAUCCUACACAUGGGCAAAUGAAGAAAACAAGGAUCCUGAGCCAAAGGAAACUUGAGGCAUCUUGGUCUGAUUUUUUCAUCUGGACCAUGUUAAGGAAAAUGUAAUAAAAUUUCCACCUUUGAGCUGCCGUGCUAAGCUGUUGGGAUGUCUGCUUUCUGGCUCUUCUCCUUGACAUUAGCUGGGAACAAAUGUUUGCUAGAGUGUGAGGAGGGAGUGGAAUUUGCAGACCAAAAAAGGGAAAAGACGCUGGACUCAAAUAACACUCACACAGAAACAUGGAGCACCACCGACAGUUGGUGAUCUCACCAGCAGCUCAGCGCUGAGCCUCGUCGUGCCAGAUAGCCCUCCGGUUCAUGUAAAUUAGAAAACCAUUGUCCAAAACCAAAGGACUUUCUCCAGAAAUGUCUGGCUCUGGAUCAGCCAUCAAGAGAGCGGGAAGAAGCACCCAUCCAAAGGCCCCUUGGAUGCUGGGACACACAGCACCCUGCAGACUGGCCAGCGCCACAGCCCACUGCGCUAGCCACGUCUCCGACCAGAUGCUGGCUUAACCGCCUCGCUGGAGGGGUUCUGUCAACAUGCAUUGUUUCUGAGAGAAGCUUGAGGCCAGGCGUCUCUAAGUCCUAUAAUUAGAAAAAGUAAAGAAAGGAGAGCACUGCACAGGGUUCUGACUCACCACUGUUACACAGAGGCCCCCCGGGUGACAGAGACAUGACUCGCACCUAUACAUGGCUCCGACUUAGGUCCUCACAUGCUGAGCCCCAUGUUCCCCUCUGCAAGGGCAGGUUUGGACCCUGUGGCCGCAGGGUCCCCACUGACUCUCCAGGGGUGGACAGCUGAGCCACCGUGGGUGCGGCUUCCUCCACGAGCUCCAUGCAUUCUGCACAUUCUAGAGCGUCCUCCGCACUGGGCUCUGCAACCUACCCAGUGAGAGGCCUCGGGCUCCCUUGGUCAGGGUCCGGUCCACUCACCCUGUGCAGGAGCUCGGGCAACACCAGGGCCAAAGUCGAGCGUCUGUUUCUCGAUCCACCUAAAAUGGGGGGCCUCAGGACUUGCCAACAAAGGAAGGGGAGGCGAUGCCAUUGUCCAAGACCAAAGGACUUUCUCCAGAAAUGUCUGGCUCUGGAUCAGCCAUCAGGAGAGCGGGAAGAAGCACCCACCCCUGCGCUGGCGGUGUGCGGAAAAGAAGGUGGCGAGGAUGGAGUGCCCUGGUCCAGUCUCGGAGGGUGGCCUUAGGAAGUCUGGGUGUGGACGAACGCCGUGUGCAAUUUCAGGUAUCCACCAGGAGCUCCUCUGUGAUUCCCCUGCAGAGCCCUCCUCUCAGGUCCUGUUUACCCACAUGUAACUGUGGGAAGACCUGAAGAGGUCCCCGUCUUCCCGGGAGGCAGCAGGUACCAGCAGGGCCACUGCAGAGGUCUCGUUGUCAUAGACCCAGGGACCUACAAGCUCACAUGUGGCUUCCAUGAGAGCAUCCUGCAUCCAGGGUGGAGUCCAGCCGGGAUCUUAGUACCAAUGCCACUUCCCCUGUGGCUGCCCACGACGGGACCCCGCGUGGAAACCUGACUCACAGAAACCAACCAGUUCCCUCCCCGAGAACCUGAAGUCGGCCUUGAGAGGCAGGGAGUGGCCCUGCUGUGUCCAGCUGAGCUGAGGUCAUCCAGAGUUGGAGUCCCCGGAGACGAAGGUCAUGGAGCAAGGCUCAGCUGCCUGGGAGGGGCAGGGGAGAGAGAGGCACAGAGACCACCUCUGCAGACCCCCCAAGCCCCACCAGCCCCCACUCUGGCACCCGGGCUCUCUCUUAGGCUAGGUUUAUGUUCAUUGUAACUAAGAAACUUCAUCCCGUGGGGGUCAGUAGGAAGGAGCGCAGGGUGCCACAUUCAGGGGGUGUGCUGAGCACUGCCUAAGUGCCUGUGCUGGGGGGGGGGUGGCACUGAACCCGCCCUACCCCCACCAGCACCACCCAGCACAGGUCUGCACCUGCCUGAGGAAGGGGUGCCCGUUUCAAAUCUGCUGGGAGGCGCUGCUGGCCGGCUUCAGCCCCGCGGGACAGCUGUGUGGUUGCAGUGUACCGCCACCCCACGGCUCCGCCAGCACCGCCCUGCCUCCCCCCACAGGGUCUCUCCCCGCCAACCUCAGUCUGCGGGUGCUUCCUACCAUCCUCCCAUCUUGAUUUUCUGCUUAGAAGAUUUCACUCCAGGCUAGAAUUUCUCAAGACAUAUUCUGGGAACUUUGUCCAGUGUGAUAAAUAUCACGUGGGCACCCCCACGUGCCCGUGAGCUCCUGGCAUGUAAGCCCGAGAAGAGCGGCACAUUCCGUCUUCCCCCUGGGAACAGGCAGCGCACACUCCUCGGUGGAGUCUCUGGCGAGUCCUGCAGGUGAGACACCAGCCGACUGGAGGAGGGCCCAAGCUCAGCACUUCCCCCGAAGACAGGCCUUUGUUCCUGUGCAGCAGGCAAUUCAUCUUCUUCCGCUUGAGACACGUCCUUGGACGUCCCUUUUCCCAUCCACUGCAGAGUUCCCACUGCUUAUCACUUAAAUUAAAUAGCACAGGGCACCUUUGUCUUCGCGGUGCCUAACGCAGAAAUGCGUCUUACACUCAGCACAUGGACGCUUAACGAGGGGGACAUGGCUGAGCGGCCUGUACCAGAGGACCAUUUUCAAACACUCAGGCUCACACUUGGGGUGUCGGAUAUCUGUGUGUGGCGUGGGCACAGCCUGGUGUCCGGGUGACUGGCGCCCAGGGCCUCAGCGGCUGCAGGCCCUGGGGUCCUCAUUAGCAGAAGAGGCGGAGUGGCCCGCUGCCUCUCCUCUCAGCUUGUGCCCUGUCAGGACUGAUCAAGAUCUCCCUUGCUCAAUUCGUGGGCCGUCAUUAUUUCAGGACCUGAGAUAGGAAGGCAGUAGAUUUUAUGUGAUUAGCUGCUGAGAUAAACGUUAAUUAGUUUUCAAUUUCCAUAAAGUACCCCACUGACAGAAAGAUUUGUUAAGUAAGUUAAUGGCUGUAGAUGAUUGUUCCAAAAUUGGGAUGGGGGAUGAGGCGCCAUGGGGACCAGGGCUGAGGACGGGUGGGCACCAGGCAGGCUCAGCGCCAGACACUAAGACAGAAUGCAGGUGGAGGCUGACGGACCGCCCCAGGUCCCAGGAGUCCACACCAUCAGGAGGCUUGGGACUGCAGGGGAGGAGGCUCAGCCUCUGAGGAAAAGCACAGUGGAGGCCGACGUCCAGGAACCAGCUGCACUGGCCCCAGUGUGAAGUCCAGAGAAGGCCCGGUUCUGUGUCAGCCCAGAAGACGGGGAGUCCCGGCUCUCCCUCAGGCCCUGCUCCUGGUUCUGAGUGAGCAAGGACAAGAGAAGAGAGCAGCCAGGCCCAGUCAGAGGGUCUCCUGGCCCCUGGUGGCCCAGAAACGGCCGAGGUCCGGGAGGCCGGAACCCCGCUUUCCUUGGCCCACGCACUGGACAAGCCUCCUGCUCUGGGAGCCUCCGCCCAUCUUUAGGAGAGUGGAGGGGAGGCAGUGAACCCUCCGUUACGUCGUGCUGAGACGUUUUUGGAAUCCACCCCAGAAACACUCCAGGCCUCACCAGACGCUGUCUGCAGGGUGAGUCGCUGGCCUAGGACGGGAAGCCUCGGCGUCCCACGAUGACUUCUAACACUGAUCUCCACACCCUGCUGCCGCACUCGGGCUUCUCGCCAGAUCACGCCAAGCUCUGAGUAACGGGCCACACCCAGCCCUCUCGCACGUCCACUGGGCCCCCGCCAGGCCUCUCCCUGUGCCUGGGGUGGGGAGGCUGCCAGGCCACCCACACACUGUCCUUUCUACUCCGGGAGCGUCAGGCCCCUCCGAUCCCUUUUCCUCCAACACCACAGAGUGAACGAAAGUUCCCCAGAAAGACGCCGGCCGACCCCGGCUGGGUCAGUGUGGCCCUCCUGCACCAGCCUCCACCCCAGAGAGCAGGUCAGAUCCUCGUGGGACCAGAGCCUCCAAAGCCAGCCUCCAACACACGGGUCCCUGUCCUCACACACGUCAGGCAGCCCCUUAGCCCCCUCCUGCUGCGCCAAAGCACCCAGCUGCUGGGGUGGAGUUUGGCCCACAUCGGGAGCUGAGGAAUCUGAAGGAAGGUGGUCAGGGUAGGUGUGUCCAGGGGACGGGCCUGCACUCCGUCGCCAGGAUUCCGCCACACUCCAGCACUCCGAGCUCAGCCAGGCCCCCGUGGAUACCAGAGACCACGGCAGUUCCCAUGGAGGACACCUGGAGGACUCUGCUGAAGGCCGGUGCCGGAGGCGUGGGCCCGCAUCACCCGUGAUUUCCCAGGAAUCCUCUUCUUCCACAUCUGGGAUGAGCACCCGUGUACGGAGCUCAGUAAGGAAGCCCCAGGGGAAAGAGAAAUAGGGGAGAUCUCCCCUCUUUGCAGCAACAAAAUGGAGAGAUGGAGGAGGAAGCGUUUCACUAAAUCACAGGAAAAUUAGCCUUCGUUGCCAGAACUGGUGAUUUACAAGGAGCGAUUCUUCACCCUGAUAAUUCACUCUGCACUUAGAUCUAGAUGUUCGAUUUUUUGUAAUGGAAUUUCUAAAAGUCAAGGAAUCUGUGUGAAGCUGAGGGUGGGAACACAGUCUGUCUUCACAGGAAGAGACAGUAUCAGGAAAGAGUCUCUUCUUUGUUUGUUUUUAUGUCUAACACAAAGAAUGGGAAGCCUAAGACCCAGCUGGGGGACCAACAGUGACAGUGCAUUCCUGGGCUUCCCCUACUCACGGGGCCACGGGCACCAGCAGAAAGGUGACCCCUUGCCAUCCGCCUCCUGAAACUCCCACUACAGAUAAGUGACCCUGCGUGACCGCACAGAGCUCACUGAGUGGACGCUUCUGAAAGAGAAACUCCAGGCCAUUUUCACACUCGACCUCUUGGUCCCCACUACCCCUGUUAUGGCCAGUCUACCUGAGCCCUCUGUCUGGGGGCCAAGGAGCAAUGGACGGCUGUGCUGGCCUCAUCUGCCCCUCAUUCUGAGCACCUUUCUGCACCCCACUCUCCCCCAGCACUCUGACCAGCUUCCACCGUGGAGUAUGGUGGACACAGGGCCUGUGGCUCCCCAGGGACCCUAGCAGUCACAGGAGACCGUGUGACUUGGUGACUCACAGCGGGAAACAUGCAUCUGGCCUUCCCAUGGCUGACCAGGGCUGAUAAAGCCAGAGGUGAAGGCCAACAGCACCCUCCCUGUUCAUGGAGCCCCGGCACCAGCUGAGUCCCCGGCCCUGCGGCCUCUUCCGAGAGCCCUGACCCGGGGCUGGCUGCAGGGGAGCAGCCCUGGAUAGAAGGCGGAAACUCUCAGACCCCUCCCCAACCCACACCUCCACGGACUCCACCAGUGACCAGGACAGUCGUGCCGGCGUACUGGAGCCUCCAGGAAACCCAAGAGGGCAGAUGCACUGACUGUUGAACACGCUCCGUGCUGAGGGGGCCCAGGGAGGACCUGGCCGUGCUGAGCCCCUCCCAGACCUCGCCCUGUGAGUCUCCCCAGCUGGCUCCUCCCGAGUCGCCACCGUCUUUACGACAAACCCGUCGUGGAAGAACAAACCUUUCCCAGGUCUGCGAGCUGCCCUAGCAGUGAGUGAGCUGGAGAAGGAGCGGCACCUCCACCGGUCAGAAGUACAGGGGGCCAUCUGGACUGGAGAGUGGCCUCUGAAGUGGGCAGAGGCUGAGUCCCCCACCUGUGGGGCCUGAGGACCUCUCCCAGUCACAGAUUGCAGGACGAGAAUUGCUGUGGGGGGAAAUCCCUCCUCACCUGGUGCCAGGAGCAAGGUGUGAAGAGCAGGUGUGGGUGCUAGGUCAGUGUGGCGACUUGGUGGCGACUCAGAACACAGCAGCCUGUGCAGGAGUGACAUCUCAAUGAAGCCUCCUUCAGCGGCCCUUUUAAAUCUGCCUCCCUGGGUCGUGCCAGAGGACUCGGGGCCAGGGUUCGCUCUUUCUUUUCAAGAGGCAGGAAUAAGGUCAGGAGGCUCAUUCCUCCGCUGCCUUCAUAGGCACUUGCUCCAAGCUGGCCGUGCCCCUCAGCACAGCUGGGCUACCAAGGAGAACCCACAUGAGCUCUCCGACUCCAGUUGCUCCCAGUGGACUUAAACGUCUCUCGUCCGGGAGGCUGCCCGGGGGGCGAUACAUUCCCAGUCUCUGCUGGCUUUGCCGUGAAGCCACUGCUGACCUGGGGCCUGAUGGUGAGGCUACUGGGGUGUUUCUUUAAGGGUCUGAACCACGUUUUUGCCAAAACUUCCCCCUGGGGCCUGCCGAUGUCCCCUGAGUGAGGCCUGGUACAGUGGGCACACUUGUGGUUCCAGCCACUCUGGAGGCUGAGGCAGGAGGAUGGCGAGUUUGAGGCCAGCCUGUGCAACUUGGUGAGACUCUGUCUCUCCGUGGUAGAGUGCCCUGGAUGCAGUCCCCAGGACUGCUGUAAGGACACAUUCCCUGGUGACGGACGCCCUGGCCUCCCCGACUUGAGGGGGCCUGUCCCCUUCGCUGCCUCAGCCUUCCUUUCUGAUUCUGCUCAGCUCUGCACGCGGAUCUCUUGAACAUUUGAGGAACAAGGAGAACUUGGCCCAGACUCCCUGGUCUCCCGCGACCCCCGCUCAUGCGCCAGGACAGGAAGCCACCGACCACACAAGGAGUGGACAUGGAAAGAGGUGAUGUCCGCGUCCUGGGAGCCUCUGCCCCUUCCCAGGGCCGGGUGGAUGCCCUCCCCUGUGCGCCUGUGCCUGCCCACCUGUCCCCCUCCACCCAGGAGGAGGAAGCCCACCUGUGAGACAGCCCUUCUCCGCUCUGUCACCGAAGGAAGCCUCUCUCCUCAGCUUGUCUCCUCGGGGUGAGCCUCCAGCCUGGGGUCCCCUCGGGGCCCCAUCCGCCUGGCUCUGCUGCCCUCCCUCACCCUCAGGCCUGCUCUGUGGCUGCCUGCCCAGGUGCCCCCACACACACACACCCCCACACUCUCCUGAUGUGAGGGUGCCCUCUGCUUCUCCUCCGUACGGCUCCUGAGCUGGACGGUAAGGGAGGGAGAGACUGGAUGUGGAGAGCCUCCCACUGCAGCUGCGUGGCCCCCUGGAGCUGGCCCUAAGCCCUUCCAAACUCCUAACUCGUGGGAUCUGAGGUCAUUGAUGCUUACUGGUUGAAGAAGUGACUUUUUGAUUGUUUGCCGUACCGGGGACUGAACCCAGGGGCGCUUGCCCCUGAGCCACACCCCCAGCCCUUUUCAUCUUUUGACACAGGGUCUCACUAAGUGGCCCAGGCUGGCCUGGAACUUGUGGUCUUCCUGCCUCAGCGGCUGGGGUUACAGGGGUGCAGCACCACCACACCCUGCUGAAGUGGUUUGCUCCAAACAGAAGGCCUCUGAUGUCCCCGAUACAGCUCGGAGAACCUGGAUGACAGCAGAGCUUGGUGGACCCCAGGGCUCACGGUGUCGGCCACUGUGCUGAGCCUGCCCUUAACCUCCUCCAUUCCCUGCGAAGCCGGUACUGCUGUGGCCUCACUGUAGAGCUUGGGAGCCAAGACACACUGAGCACACCAUGUCCCACGGAGCCCAGAAGCCCAUUCUUCACAUUAACCCUCUGAAGUCAGAGGCCCUCUCCCGGUCACUGAUGGCACCCAGCUGCUGGAAUCAGGCAGCAAUCUGAUAUGACGGCAGCGUGCACAGGGGUGCAGCUGUGUCAUCCCGUUCCUACCGUGACUGCUUCACCUGGGUUACCAGCCUCGGACUGACCGGCUGCCUGAAGUGUUCCCAACAGUCUACGAUGACUUGGCUUCAAAACUCAGAGUCAUCGUACAGACAAAGAUAUGAAACUAGAGCAGCAGACCGUACAUUUUAUAUUUGAGAAGUAAACAUCACUAGGAAAAUAAA